rnacentral:lncRNA from 1 species
UGGAGGUAACUCCCACAUUGUUAGUGAGUUUUGUGUUUGUUAUUUUUAAUUUCUUUUUAAUUUUUGUUUUUUAAAUGAUAAGUAUUUUACCACUUUAUCCUCAUUAUAUUAAAUUGUAAAUUUUUGCUCAUCACUUUAAUUCAAGAUAUACGUGUACUCUCACCACUCUUCCCAAAAGGUGACAUAUGUAUGAAUUUAACUAUAAUUAACUCUUUAUUUUUUUAUUUGUUUGAUGACAUUAUUAUGAGAGAGAAAUAAUGUUUUAAUAAAAAAUUUCCUGAUUUACCCUUAUUCUAUUAAUU